GAUGAACGCUGGCGGCGUGCCUAAUACAUGCAAGUCGAGCGAACGGACGCGAAUCUUGCUUUUCUGAUGUUAGCGGAGGACGGGUGAGUAACACGUGGAUAACCUACUUAUAAGACUGGGAUAACUUCGGGACACCGGAGAUAAUACCGGAUAAUAUUUUGAACCGCAUGGUUCAAAAGUGAAAGACGGUCUUGCUGUCACUUAUCGAUGGAUACGCGCUGCAUUAGCUAGUUGGUAAGUUAACGGGUUAUCACGGCGACGAUGCAUAGCCGACCUGAGAGGGUGGUCGGCCACACGGGAGGGGAGACGCGGUCCAGACGCCUGCGGUAGGCAGCAGUAGGGAAUCGUCCGCAGUGGGCGGAAGCCUUACGGAGCAGCGCCGCGUGAGUGGUGGAAGUCUUGGGAGCGGAAUGCUCUGUUAUGAGUUAAGAACAUAUGUGUAAGGUACUGUGCACAGCGUGACGGUACCUAGUCAGAAAGCCACGGCUAACUACGUG
rnacentral:rRNA from 1 species